GACGAACGCUGGCGGCGUGCUUAACACAUGCAAGUCGAACGGAAAGGCCCUGCUUUUGUGGGGUGCUCGAGUGGCGAACGGGUGAGUAACACGUGAGUAACCUGCCCUUGACUUUGGGAUAACUUCAGGAAACUGGGGCUAAUACCGGAUAGGAGCUCCUGCUGCAUGGUGGGGGUUGGAAAGUUUCGGCGGUUGGGGAUGGACUCGCGGCUUAUCAGCUUGUUGGUGGGGUAGUGGCUUACCAAGGCUUUGACGGGUAGCCGGCCUGAGAGGGUGACCGGCCACAUUGGGACUGCGAUCCGGCCCAGACUCCUACGGGAGGCAGCAGUGGGGAAUAUUGCACAAUGGGCGGAAGCCUGAUGCAGCAACGCCGCGUGCGGGAUGACGGCCUUCGGGUUGUAAACCGCUUUCGCCUGUGACGAAGCGUGAGUGACGGUAAUGAGUAAAGAAGCACCGGCUAACUACGUG
rnacentral:rRNA from 1 species